rnacentral:tRNA from 1 species
UCCAAGGUAGCCUAGUGGUCAUGGCAUCUGCCCGGUAAGCGGAAGGUCGUGGGUUCGAUUUCCAUCCCUUGAAA